rnacentral:lncRNA from 13 species
GGACUUCAAAAAUUUCUUUUUUUCUGUGCUGCAACAGGAGUGAGUCACCUCCUAGAUGAAAUCCAAAAUCUUACCCUCUUGUGAAUACCCAAAAUUGGAAAAGCAAAGCAAGCAGGGACCAUCAGAGGGAUUCAGAAGUCAGAAGCAACUGUGUUUAUAGAAGAAAGACACAGAAAAAUGCAUCAUUGCUGGCUUUGAAGAGAGAAAAAGGCAAUCACAAGCCAGAGAAUCUGGAUGAACUCUAGAAGCCGAAAAAGAACAAGGAAGGGAAUUCUCCCUUGGAGUCUCCAGAAUGGAAACUCAAUAAAGAGCCAAGAUAUGGAGAGAACACAGACAAACUUCCCCUUGACCAAAGAGCCAGUCUGAGUCAGAACCAAGAUUUUAAGCUAAUAGCCUCCAUCUGGAGUUUGUGCACCUAAUCAUUAAAGGACACUCUAAAAAAUGUUUCUCUGUAACUAAUUUGGUGAAUGAAUAUGAGUAACUUUAUAUUAUAUUUAUAAAAU